UCGUCAUGUGACGUUCGUCUAUUUGCUUUCACCCAUGUUCUAAUCUUUUCCUCACAAGGGUUGUGGGCGUGCUGGAGCCAUAUGCUUUCAUUUCGUGACACAAAUGGUGUGUGUAAUAUUUAUUGCAGUGACGCAACAGCACCCAGCGUGGCACCUGCUUCCCAAGGCGCGUCCGUCAGAGCCACGAGGAAAGCAAAAGUGGUGCUUCCAUAAAUGGCACCGCGAUGCAAUCGGAGCCAAACCUGAUCACCUUGGAAGAGAGGACAGGUAAAGCGGCCAAUGUGGGUGUCAAACAUCUCUCCGAGGUUGCUGUGCAGCUGAUCAAAAACAAUGGGCUGGUCUAGGUUGCCCGG